ACAGUGCUUCCUGUCAUUGUACGUGACUUCUUAUAAGGAGUAGGAAAAGGGUCAUGCCUGCGAGGUAGAUUUGCUCCCAGUCAGAUCAUAUGACAACUUCAGCUGUCUACUCUGUUCUGUAAUUAAAGCAAGAGGCUAUGGAUUUGCUCCAGAUUAAGAUACAUCAGGUUUGGCCAGCCAAGACCACCUGAAAGGUCUCUGAUGACACCAUGGCCCAGAUAAUCCAACAUCCAGAAUGGUUUCAAGGAAACUGGCUCAGAGAAUACAGCCUCAUGGACUACUCCGUAAUCCUAAAAUUUUCUUUAUGUCCCCAGAAAAAUACAGCACCCUCAUCCAGCAGGAAGUAGUAUGAGAAGCUACACCCAAAUUCCCAAAUAUACCAAGCUGGAUUUA